CACAGCCUGCAAAAAAUAAGAUUAAAUAAGUGGCACCUCCGAGGCUGCGACAAUGCAGCCGUCUGUCCUUCACGUCAGCUACACGCAUAGCAGCACAUCAACGAGUCCCAUACGUUUUCAACUCCUCUGACGGCCUGGCGUCCCCGCUCGGCCCCUUCCACGACUCGCAGCGAGAGAGAAAGGUCGAGGUGUGGUGGUCUUGUGGCGGAAGGCUGAAGGAGGCGGUGAAGGAGUGAAGGUGUGAAGUGUGUGGCUUCCACUUCACCAUCCUAUGAACAGCCUGCAGGAAUCUCUAUCAGCUCCUGCUUCUGCAAUAUUGGUAUCUGGUUACCAAAUAGUGCUGUCACACUGGGCCUGACAUACUCCAUUGCAAUUGGGGAAUGAAGCUUCACCAGGAAGACGCCAAGCAUCACGACCUUCAAGCCUUCAAGCCCUACAAGAGGUGUUAAGUAUUGUCAGGACAAAACAGAGGGCCUGGUACAAGAGUUUUCAUUGCAAUCAAGGAAGAGUAAAGUUGCAGUAAGAAGAGUGUGUCAAGAAUUUUAAACAGGAGGAAGACUGUCAAGCAGUUGACGGCAGGAAGAACGCAUGAAAUUCCCUUAAGUCAUGGCAGGACUGAAAGGCAACCUUCAUUCAACAUCUGCAGAGGCACAAGAGUUGUGGGCAGUUUUACCAGGAAGAGUUUGCUCCUCCCUCAAGCUGACACAAAGACACAAGAAUUUGCAAGUGUUGUUCCUGCGAGACCCUGCUGCAAAUGUUCUCCAAUCCACUCCAGUCUGGGAAGGAAGAAUGUAGGAAGUCCCUCUCUUCUGUACUCAACAAGCACCACCACCACCAUCACCUUCAUUCAGGCUUGGGACAAGUUUUGUACAUUCCAACACUUCAGUAAUAAAGAAAACAAAUGCCAUGUUUAUUA